rnacentral:rRNA from 1 species
AUGGCUCGUGCUGUUGUUCCGUUGAAUUUUAAUGCGUUCCUUGAGAAAGCUAAGUUGAAAGAUGAUGGUAGCAAUUACACGGACUGGGUCCGUAACAUGAGGAUUAUCCCCAUUGUUGCACAGAAGAAUUACGUCCUGGAAGCACCGCUGGGUUCCAGGCCUGCUGCAGAUGCAACUGACAAUGUUAAGAACGUCUGGCAGAGCAAAGCUGAUGACUACUCGAUAGUUCAGUGUGCCAUGCUUUACGGCUUGGAACCGGGUCUUCAACGACGUUUUGAACGUCAUGGAGCAUAUGAGAUGUUCCAGGAGUUGAAGUUAAUAUUUCAAGCAAAUGCCCGGAUUGAGAGAUAUGUAGUCUCCAAUAACUUCUAUAGCUGUAAGAUGGAGGAGAAUAGUUCUGUCAGUGAACACAUACUCAAAAUGUCUGGGUAUAAUAAUCACUUGAUUCAACUGGGAGUUAAUCUUCCUGAUGAUAGUGUCAUUGACAGAAUUCUUCAAUCACUGCCACCAAGCUACAAGAGCUUCGUGAUGAACUAUAAUAUGCAAGGGAUGGACAAGACUAUUCUCGAGCUCUUCGCAAUGCUAAAGGCUGCGGAGGUAGAAAUCAAGAAGGAGCAUCAAGUGUUGAUGGUCAAUAAGACCACCAGUUUCAAGAAAAAGGGCAAAGGGAAGAAGAAGGGGAACUUCAAGAAGAACAGCAAACAAGUUGCUGCUCAAGAGAAGAAACCCAAGUCUGGACCUAAGCCUGAGACUGAGUGCUUCUACUGCAAGCAGACUGGACACUGGAAGCGGAACUGCCCCAAGUAUUUGGCGGAUAAGAAGGAUGGCAAAGUGAACAAAGGUAUAUGUGAUAUACAUGUUAUUGAUGUGUACCUUACUAAUACUCGUAGUAGUACCUGGGUAUUUGAUACUGGUUCUGUUGCUAAUAUUUGCAACUCGAAACAGGGACUACGGAUUAAGCGAAGAUUGGCUAAGGACGAGGUGACGAUGCGCGUGGGAAAUGGUUCCAAAGUCGAUGUGAUCGUGGUCGGCACGCUACCUCUACAUCUACCAUCGGGAUUAGUUUUAGACCUAAAUAAUUGUUAUUUGGUACCAGUGUUGAGCAUGAACAUUAUAUCUGGAUCUUGUUUGAUGCGUGUGAUGCCCUCGAUUCAAUCGUACACUAAUCAUACACGCAAAUGUGUACGAUCAAGAUCAAGGACUCACGGGAAGAUAUCACAACACAACUCUAGGCACAAAUUAAAAUAA